GCUUUACUGUGCAAGGGAUAAGGCACUGGAACAGGUUACCCAGAGAAUGUGUGGAUACACAUCUCUGGAAGUGUUCAAGCCCAGGUUGGAAUGGGCCCUGAGCAAAUGGGCUAGUGAAAGUGUCCCUGCCUAAGGCAGGGGGGUUGCAACUAGGUUAAGGUCCAUUUCAACCCAAACCAUUCUGUGAUUCUGUGAUUUUAUGCCCAUCACUGAAUGUUGUUCACAGGCUUUUAGAAAGUGGUUGGCCAUAUGGAAUCUCCACAUGGAAGGAACUGCAAGCACUCUUGUUCUGGAAAGCUAUAGCAGCCUGCCUGCCUGGGAGCAGAGGAGGAGUGCUGGUAGUGUGUUUAUGGAGGAUAUACAGCUGGGACUUGGUUGGUGAGCGAUUUGGAGAGAAAAGGGGUAAAGCUUUUAGCAUGGCUUCAUGCGAGGUGAAAAUGUAUUCAGCCGGCUACACCACACCCUGCCACGGGGAACUCUGUUUAUAGAGGGGUUGGAAACAAAAAUGAGCAAGAUGUAAAAAAUUACUUUUCUAGACCUCAAAGCAAGAAAUCAAAUUACAUGUGAGCAGGGAGAGAAAGAAUGCUUCAAGCAAGACAAAAGGAAAACUACUUCUUAAGAAACCAGAGGACAGCAUCUUUAGCUAACCACAAUUGCAGAACAGCCGUUGAUUUAGGUUCUGCAGAGGAGCAACGGUGGCUGCUUGCUGCUUGUCAUCCUGCAAGGAACUGAUGUCUGUUGCCCUGAGCUACAGAAAAAGGCCAACGAGAAUUCAUUUGACAUCAAAAGAAGAAGAGCCAAGCCAUAUAAGCCUUCAUCAAAGGAGUACAGCAGACGUGUAAUUGGGUGCUCAGAGUGAGCUGGGUUUCUGCUCACUCACCCCAGCACUGCUGUGGAUGGAUCUGCUCCUGCACCCAGCCCUGGAGCCCAGACCAGCAUGGGGGGCUCCUGCCUACCCCCCUUCUCACUGCCUUGCUUCUCCCCAGACAGAAGCAAUACAGCCCUUGUGGUGUCUACACUGCUAUUCAUAGCCUGACUUCCUUGAGGUUCCUUAUCAGUGGGAAUAAUUAGUGUGAACACUAAAAGCCCCUCGUUGGGAAUAAAGGGUCAACCCCACAUCCCCCAGCACAGAGCAGAAGCUCAUUAUCUUGCAUGAAUUCUCCAUAAAUUGUGGAAGUAUAUUCAGCAUAUGGCCUUGCUCUGCUUUUCUCCCCAAACAGAGAGCAAAACCCGUAUAUUUUUGUUGAUAAUUUUCUCAUUUAAAUUUGAUUGGAAGUAAGAACAUUUUUUUAAUGGACUGUGUAUUCUGCAUCUGUGUUUCAUGCGUUGAAGAGAAAAUUCAAUCAUUUCAGUGCAAUUGUUUUAUUUACACCAGUUUAACCAGAAAAUAAAUGGCUACAGUAAUCUUCUUCUGAGUAAGAAAUUAUGCAGUUCACACCAGGAGGGUAAUCAGCAAUGAAAAAAGUUCUGUUUUCCUGACAAAGCUGGGAAUUCAUGAAUGCUUCCAUGAUGGGCAAGAAACUAAGCGCUGAAAUUACCUCAAGUCACUUCACAUGACAAAAAACCAAUAUUUUAUUCAUCUUCCCCCUUGUCUUUUCACUUCAAACAAAUGCAGGCCAGAUGAUUAACUUGCAUUCAAAAUCCUGGCCUGAGAAACAGAAGAGUGUCUACACCAGCUAAGCCUGACACCAGGGAUGCAUGUCGGUUCUCUUGUAGGGUUUGAAGCAGAAAGGAGCCGAAGGACCUCAACAAGAGGGAAUCUGAACGUCAGUUGUGUCUCGUCAUUUGAUAAAUUUGCUAAAAGAAGGAUUUGAUUAGACAACACAUAAUUACAGUUUGUCUAAUUAACAGGCUCAGCAGGAAGCAAGCAUGGCCAGAGCAGGACUGAGGUGCCCAGUCCCCGCAGCUGUGGUGCCUCCUUCUCAACCCAACCCCUCAUUUCCAUGCUCAUGUCCAUGGAGCUCAUUCCCUACAACUCCCUGGCUUUCAAAUCACCUUCCAAACCAGCCUCUCACUAGAUGCUGAUAUCUAAUGCUACAAACCCUUCCCGUGACUUCAGAAUGGCAGCCAAGCAUUUCCUGGGAUGCACCAAAGGGACUCCAGGCUGGGCAGGAAGGAGAAUUCCAGAACCAGACUUCUGGGGAUAGCUCCAUGACCAUAUUUGACUUACUAUAGAGGUAUAAGAAGUAUUCUCUUCUGGGUAUUUUCUUUUUUCCUAGAAAUUAUCUACCUAUGAAGGACCUGUGCAGUGAGGCAGGGAUUAACUAAAAUAACCCACUCAGAUAUGUUUCAUAAUGUGGCCACCCAAUAUGAGACUCCUUCUGUUGAAGGCCAGGAUGCUGUCCUGCAAGAAUUAACUAAAAGUCAGAAACCUGCAGCUGUCACCAAAUUUCUCUUCACAGAGAAAAACAAGGCACAAUUCUUCCCAAGAAUAUUUCUGGGUUUCACAUUCCCUGAACCUCAGAGAAAGAAAAAACAAUUCUUGUCUCAUUUACUGCUCCUGUGUUGUUCACAAGUGGAAUGCAUUGUGGAAGACUGUUUACCUGAAGGAAAUUGGUAAUUGGAUUCUGGUGUGAGUGCUUUGAUUCACUGACCAAUUGAAUCCAUGUGUGUGUAUCAGGACUGUCGGCUGACCUUCACGAGAUGAGUGCAGUUGUGUGCAGAGUUGAGUGCUUGGCAGAUUCAGUUUAGAGGUAAUGUAACAUAGUGUAAUAUAAUAUAGAAUAAUAUAGUAUAAUAAAGU